rnacentral:rRNA from 1 species
AACGUAGGAGGCUAGCGUUAUCCGGAUUUAUUGGGCGUAAAGCGCGUGCAGGCGGUUUGAUAAGUUGGAUGUGAAAUCUCCCGGCUUAACUGGGAGCGGUCGUUCAAAACUAUCAGACUAGAGAUUGGGAGAGGGAGGUGGAAUUCCGGGUGUAGUGGUGAAAUGCGUAGAUAUCCGGAGGAACACCAGUGGCGAAAGCGGCCUCCUAGACCAUUUCUGACGCUAAGACGCGAAAGCUAGGGUAGCAAAC